GGAGAGCAAAAGAGGGUUUCUCUUUGAAACCCUAAACUCACGAAAUUUCAGUAAAUCGAAGGGAAAUCGAGCUAGAAAAUUUGGGGCUUUUACUAAAAUUGUGAUCACCAAGCUUAGAGAAUCAAGAGGUGUACCUUAUAUGCUUGCGAAGUUUGACUCUGACAAGCUAGGUAGGAGCUUGGAAAUGAACGGGUCAAAUGGAUACAAGUUCAAGUAUGAAGCUCGCAAAGAUGCAAGGUAA
rnacentral:lncRNA from 1 species